rnacentral:rRNA from 1 species
GACGAACGCUGGCGGCGUGCCUAAUACAUGCAAGUCGAACGAGAGCGACCGGUGCUUGCCCUGGUCAAUCUAGUGGCGAACGGGUGAGUAACACGUGGGUAACCUGCCCAUCAGAGGGGGAUAACAUUCGGAAACGGAUGCUAAAACCGCAUAGGUCUUCGAACCGCAUGGUUUGAAGAGGAAAAGAGGCGCAAGCUUCUGCUGAUGGAUGGACCCGCGGUGCAUUAGCUAGUUGGUGAGGUAACGGCUCACCAAGGCCGUGAUGCAUAGCCGACCUGAGAGGGUGAUCGGCCACAUUGGGACUGAGACACGGCCCAAACUCCUACGGGAGGCAGCAGUAGGGAAUCUUCCGCAAUGGACGCAAGUCUGACGGAGCAACGCCGCGUGAGUGAAGAAGGUGUUCGGAUCGUAAAACUCUGUUGUUAGAGAAGAACAAGUGCUAGAGUAACUGUUAGCGCCUUGACGGUAACUAACCAGAAAGCCACGGCUAACUACGUG